UGUAUAUGUGACUGUGGCCUAAAUGAGAGAAAUGUGGGCCAUUAUCAUAGAGGUCUUACUCAUAGAAGAAGAAAUUAGUGACUUUUGUUUACUAUGACUACAAAGCAGUUAUUACCUUGUCAUGCUUAUAAAAAGUUGUAAUUAAUUUAUAAAAUUGUUUUCUUAUAUUAAAUAAUGGUGAAUGCACUGA